AUGAAGAAGAAAUAUGUUAGCUUGUUUGAAUUGUGCGACAAAUCUUCAAAGGCAAGGAAAAUAAGUUCUACAUCCACACCAACUGCUAUUUCCGUUGAGGUUGAGAGCAACCUACAGCUAGCACUAGUGCAUACACAUGACGAAGCUCCGCAACCGGAGAGGGAGAGAGGCUCCCCGUCCCCAAUUGUAGAAGAUGAUGAAGCGGUUGAUGAAGAUGAUGAACCAAGUCCCCAAUUCGAAGCAGAUUUGGCGGCUCUGGAACGUGAUCCUGGCAAGCGACUUCCCAUAUCUUCAUAUCAUGUCAAUGACCAGGAUGUAGUUAGAAGGAGAUACAGUGACUUGGGAGCUUGUGAACCAAAGGGUCACAAAUUUGAGAUCAGAGAUUUUAGUGGACAUCCCUGUCGCUUUUGUCCUUCUUGGUUUAAGGAUCACAAGUGGCUUGAGUAUAGUGUGGACAAAGAGGUCAUGUUCUGCUUUGUUUGCUAUUUGUUCAAGGAUAAAACAAAAAGCCCUGGUGGAGAUCCAUUUGUUAAGGGUGGGUUUAGAAACUGGAACAUGAAAGCAAGAUUGACAAGGCAUGUUGGUGAUGUAAGUAGUGCUCACACUGUAGCUCAAGAGAAAUAUGAUAUGUUCACUACAUGUCGGAGUAAUGGGCCACGGGUAGCCUAA
rnacentral:rRNA from 1 species